ensembl:lncRNA
AUUUCAAAAAUCUGUUUUGAAAUAAAUUUGACAACUUCUAAGAAGCAUCUUGGAAGAAAAAUUAAUGAAACUAACUCUGGAGGAAAUAUAAAAUUUGAAUAGCACCUAUGAAAGAAAGUAUAUUCCUAGCUUGAAAACCUACCUAUAUGACAACAACAGGCUCAUAUACAUUUUAACUGAUAAAUUAUAUCAAACAUUUAAAGGAGAAAAAAAAGGAAAAUUCUCCCCUCAUUUUCGGAAAUCAAAAUUGUGCUAAUCCUAAAACUGGAUAAAGAUAAUAGAAGAAAAAUCAUGAACAUAGAUAGAAAUUUGUUUAACAAAACAAAGUAUUAGAAGUCAGAUCUGGCAAUAUGUAGAAAGUGGUUUUAUUAUAGGGAUGGCAGUGUGGGUUCAGCAUUGGAAGAUCCAUCCCCAAAAGUCAUCAUUUUAACAGAGGAAAGGAAAAAGCCAUAUGAUACUGUCAGUAGUUGGAGAAAAAGUAUUGGACUAAAUUCUACAGCUGUUCAUGGUAAAAGCUAGCAGGAGACUAGAAGGAGAAUAAACCUUCUCAACAGAUCAAAGACAUGUACUCCAUACUUCCAGCGAAAACGCCUUAUAUGAAUGGAGGAGAUACAAUGCUUUCUCCUUAAGGUGGGGAUCAAGGGCAGAUAUGCUUACUCUUCAUCUGUCCAUUAAACUUUGAAACAUAGGCCCAGACCAAAAUAAUCUGGCAAUAAAAUGACACAAUUAGGAUAGGAUUGGCAAGGUAGAAGCAAAAUCUUUACAUGUAGAUGAAAUGAUCAUCUACAGAGAAAAUACUAAGAAAUCUCUAGGAGCCCCUAGAACUUGUAUUUAAAUUUAGCAGAAUUAGAAAAUACAAGGUAUGUAUAAAAAUUCAGGUCUAUGUAUACUUGCUAUAAAUGAAGAAUUGGAUAUUGAAAUUUAAAAGUUGUGUAGGAGUACAAAGGACCUAUAAAGUAAAAAAAGAGAGAGAAAAAAAACAGUGUUGAAAGACAUUUAGUACCUAAUUUUAAGACUUCCUCUAAAGCUACAGUAAACAAGGCAAUGUUGGUAUAAGGAAAGACAUAUAGAUCAUUGGAAUAAAACAGAGAAUCUAGACAUAGAAGC